rnacentral:rRNA from 1 species
GACGUAGGGCGCGAGCGUUGUCCGGAUUUAUUGGGCGUAAAGAGCUCGUAGGCGGCUUGUCGCGUCGACCGUGAAAACUUGGGGCUCAACCCCAAGCCUGCGGUCGAUACGGGCAGGCUAGAGUUCGGUAGGGGAGACUGGAAUUCCUGGUGUAGCGGUGAAAUGCGCAGAUAUCAGGAGGAACACCGAUGGCGAAGGCAGGUCUCUGGGCCGAUACUGACACUAAACUACGAAAGCGUGGGGAGCAAACAGG